GCUCGGGUGGCGGAAUUGGUAGACGCAGUCGACUUAAGAUCGGCCGCCGAAAGGCAUGAGAGUUCGAUUCUCUCCCCGAGCA
rnacentral:tRNA from 1 species